CCGCAGUGAAUAACAGCAAAAAUCUAUGAAACAAAUGCUUUGUCAUUUUAACAGCUGUUACAUGGCGUUUGGUUGAGCUCCGUCCUAGACGUGUAUUUGAAACAAGUUUCGAUAUUGUGAAUAUUUAAGGAAAUGAAAGGAAAAGCAAUUUCCUGCUUUACAGUGCAAUAUCUAUAAUGCGAUUAACUUCGAGAGAAUCGAUUUUUGUCUACAAUAAAUUAACAAAUCAAUUGAGGAAUACAGAAUUGCCGAGAAUAACUCUUACCAGUUUCUGCUGUUCUGUAGAUGAUGUACUGACGUGGUAACGCCAUGAAAUAGCAAACAGUUAGUGCAGUUCGUUUAGAUAGUGAAUUGUUAAUUGUGGUAAAGUGUGUGUGAUUAUUGUUUUCGUGGGAAGAUCACAUUAAUGACGCGCUGUCCGCCAUUUUGUGUGGGUGACUGAGAGUGCCUUGAUUCGCCAGCGGGGCGAGGGGAGACGAGACGUAGCAGCAGCAUCAGUGCUCAGUAUCUCUCUGAUGCUGGCAGGAGACGGUAGUGGCGUUGUGAGUGCUGAAGAAGCUUUCUGUGUGCUACCUAAUACAGUGAUCGGGACACCAUAACACCGCCUUAAUGACGCACUUGUGUGACAGAGCACCUUACCCCAUGGCGAGGAAUCACACGGCCGUGUGGAAGGAUGUCUGUUAAUCGGUUAUGUUCCAGUGGUCCUGGCACCGGACAUGCUGACUUCGACAAAACUACCGACAUGUUUAAAUGUCGUGGUAUCGAUGAGUAAAAUAUGGAACUAAUAUCUGUGGAUGUAGGACACCGAGAAAUCUAUUCGGUGAGGCUACGUUCUACAUAGAAUGACCUGUCCCAACUUCGGAUAAAAAUCACAGAUUUUUUCAACAGUAUGGUUGGUAUUUUUGUUUAAAUUAAGUUGAAGUCUUUGCUCUGAUUCAUUUCAAGAUGUUUAUGAUUUUAAUAAUAUCCACAUUAUCUUUGUAAAUUGUUUUCUGCCCGCACAUACGUCAUGUUUUUAAAUAAUGCGUUUGUGUAGAUGAUUAUGAAAAUGUACUGCCUACAUCCGUUUAGCCUGUCCGUCUUCAUGGUCUCAAAUAACAGGACUCAAACUACCAGACCGAUUUCUUUUAAAUUUGGCAUGACACACCUAUAUAAAAAUUAUAAAACAAAUUCGAUUUGAGCUAGUUCUAUUUUAAGAACCGCUUUGCUGUGUUACGUUUCUGUUUUGAUUUCGAUGUAGGAAAUAAACUAAACUUGAAAUGUGA